GCUGACGUAGCCCAACACCGGUAGAGGCACGGCGCUCAGACCGCCGCCAGUGUCGGUUCGAAUCCGACCGUCAGUA
rnacentral:tRNA from 1 species